rnacentral:rRNA from 1 species
UACAUAGGUCUCAAGCGUUGUUCGGAUUCACUGGGCGUAAAGGGCGCGUAGGCGGCCGAUCAAGUCGGGGGUGAAAGCCUGUGGCUUAACCACAGAAUGGCCUUCGAUACUGUUUGGCUUGAGACCGGAAGAGGUUAGUGGAACUGCGAGUGUAGAGGUGAAAUUCGUGGAUAUUCGCAAGAACACCAGUGGCGAAGGCGGCUAACUGGUCCGGUUCUGACGCUGAGGCGCGAAAGCGUGGGGAGCAAACAGG